GUGUCAGCCGCCGCGGUAAUACGGAGGGUGCGAACGUUGUUCGGAAUUACUGGGCGUAAAGCGCGUGUAGGCGGCUUGGCAAGUCAGAUGUGAAAUCCCUCGGCUCAACCGAGGAAGUGCAUUUGAAACUGCCAGGAUAGAGUACGGGAGAGGGUUGUGGAAUUCCCGGUGUAGAGGUGAAAUUCGUAGAUAUCGGGAGGAACAUCGGUGGCGAAGGCGGCAACCUGGACCGAUACUGACGCUGAGACGCGAAAGCGUGGGGAGCAAACAGGAUUAGAUACCCCCGUAGUCC
rnacentral:rRNA from 1 species